AUGUCACCCAACCAACUGUGGGAAAUAGGACAACUGCAGUGUCCAGUACUGGAGCCUGAUGUCCCAAAUGAGCUGCACAUACCAGAGAUCGAGUGGGACUCUAGUGGCUUUCAAGCAGACCAGAGACCUGGUAUCCAUGUGCCAGUCCUUAUGAGCCCACUGGAUGAACCAGAAAUGGACUACCUCAAAAGAUCAAUAGAUCCUUGUGCCCCCUCUGA